UCUAGUUAACCAGCGCCAGGCAAAACGGCUGGAACUGCGAGGCAAAGAAGUAGGCGUUAAGGCCGUUCCCUAGCUGCCGCUCAUCUUAAAGAAGCUCCCAUUUAAACUUUGGCAUUGCAUGAAAAAGGGGAAAGAUACCUACUGAAUCUAAAAGGGCCACUGGAAUACCUGCUUUUCCAAAUCCAGAUCUCUUCUGGGAACAAAUUCAAGUGCGUGCCUCAUUCUGCUGAACGCUGAGAAGUGUUGAGAAGGAUCUGGGUGAAAUCUGAGGCGAUCGAAGCUUAGCUGUGAACCGAACGGCAGUUGAAUAUAGUGACUUAUAUCAAAAUAAAAACUUGGCUGUCAACAAGUGCACGAUUCGUAGGGAAUGAACACUGAGGAGAAAUUUUAUUUCCCCAUAUUGCCAGCAAUGGAGUAGUUGAAACUUGAAAGCUGGAAGUUAUUCCGCAGGAGCCCUUGUUUCCUCUUCCAGUGCCAAUGUGCAACAUCGGAGCAGCUGGUCCGCUGGCCACCUGGGCUUAUGAACAACCAAAAGGUAGCAGAGCAUCCACCGGGAAAGUCGGUGAGCCAGGGAGCCGGUGAUCGACACGCUGAGCCGCCAAAACUUUUACUGAAAAACCCACACGUCCUUGAAUGUUGUCAGUGCCUUUAACAAAAUUAACUCCUCAAAUAAAAGAUCCUUCGUGAA